rnacentral:tmRNA from 1 species
GGGGGCGAUCCGGAUUUCGACGUGGAUUACAAAACCUGAGGCGCAUGCCGAGGAUGCAGCUUGCCUCGUAAAACAUGCUGCAAUUCAUAGUUGCCAACGACGACAGCUACGCACUAGCGGCUUAAAGCCCGCUAGCCCUUGACCGAAACUUGCUUGUGAGGUUCGGAGCCUUUCGGGGCGCUCAGGGGUCGACUAACGCAAGCUCGCGCCAAACCUGUCCAGGGGAGCGGCGUUAAAACCUAACUGGAACCGCCGUUCGCCGCCCUGCCGGUCGGGUUGCGAAAGGUUAAAUUAAAGACCUGGCUAAGCAUGUAGUGCCAAGGGCGGAGGAUUUGCGGACGGGGGUUCAAUUCCCCCCGCCUCCACCA